rnacentral:pre_miRNA from 14 species
UAUAAAUUAAUAUUAUUAUCACUCAUAUGCAGAUUGUGAGUACUAAUGAAAGGGCCCCGGAGCAGGGAGACCCUCACUCAAGUCUCUGGAUGAUGUGAGCCCCCAAGAUCUCAUCUAAGACC